UUUUUGUCGGCCCGUUGGAGAUGUAUUAGUGUAUUUUCUCUCGUAUUUCGUAAGUGAUGGGUGUAUUGUACUCUUUAAUCUUGUAUUCUACCAAAGGUUGCCUUUCUGCCUCCCACACUUUACUUUUUCUCUCUCUCUGUUUCUCUCACUUACUCUCUCUCUUUCACUUACUCUGUCGCUCUCUCUUCGUUUCUCAUUCCUUCCAAGAUCCUCACCAUUAUUGCGUUACUCAAUUCCGGUGCUUUUUUGGUGAAGAAUUAGGCAAUCCUGCACAAAAGGGGCGAGAAUAGUUGACAAUAACAAAGAAAACAAUGAAGAACAAGUCAUUUGUGCGGAAUUUCUCUUGGAAAAAGAUGGGGGGGUUCUUCAAAGACCGCCAGAAGUUCAAAGGUUGGGAAAGGUCAAUCUGCCGCCCCUGCUGUUAAGGCAAAGAGCAAUCAGAGAUUACCUAAACAGAAAAUGAUUGUUGAGGAAAGUGUUGAUGAUAAAUCUGGUUUUGGUUCUACACAAUCGGAGUACAAAGAUGAUGUUAACUCUAGCUCAUGGUCAUUAGAGAAUAUGUUGAAGCAGUAUUUUAGGAGUAAGAGUAAGAAAAGGAAGAUGGGUGUAGGUUAGGCAAGAGAAUCCAAAAGGAGGAAGGUGCCAAAAACUGAGGGACAGAAGGUCUGUAAGAGGGGUGAAGUGUUGAACACCCAUUUUGACAAUGUUGGGAAGCCGCUUAACAUUGUUUGUAGAGUAGAAUCCUUUUGUGAAGAUAUUGAUAAAUUUAAAUCAGAUGUUCGUCGGACGAACUUGGUGAAAAGGAUGGGGAUUGGAAUUUUGCUGAGUUUGGGUAUGAAGAACAUUCCUCGCCAUUUUUGUUAUUGACUGAUGACGAGAGUGAGAAGCGAUGGGAUCCUAACGAUUGGGGAUGGUGAAGUUUUGCCGUUGGAUCCGAACCAAGUGUAUUUAAUCCUUGGAGUACCAAUGGGGAAAAGGCCGAUUCCUAGAGGGGUGGACAUGGAAUGUGUUGAAGAGUCAGAGAAGGUGAAUAGGAUUGUUAAUAGGUAUGG